rnacentral:rRNA from 1 species
CCGAUGGAGGGGGAUAACUACUGGAAACGGUAGCUAAUACCGCAUAACGUCGCAGACCAAAGAGGGGGACCUUAGGGCCUCUUGCCAUCGGAUGUGCCCAGAUGGGAUUAGCUAGUAGGUGGGGUAAUGGCUCACCUAGGCGACGAUCCCUAGCUGGUCUGAGAGGAUGACCAGCCACACUGGAACUGAGACACGGUCCAG